rnacentral:tRNA from 1 species
GCUCCGUUGGUCAAAUGGAUAAGACGCUACACUUUCUAUGUAGAAUUAAGAGUUCGAUUCUCUUACGGAGUACAA